CUUCGCUCCGCCCCGUCCCCGCUUCGCUCCGCCCCCACGCCCGGCCCAGAUCCUCCGGCGCGUCGGAGCCAAACCCGGCAGCCGAGGGGGUGGGGUCCCCACCCUCGGCCGCCAUUGGCUAUGAGUCCACGCCGCCGCGCCCCCUUGGCCAAUUGACGACAGCUGUGGGCUGGACCGCCCUGGUAGCGACCCGCCCCCAGCUCAGCGACGCGGCUCUCCAUUGGGCGAAGGAGGGUGACGCAAGGCUGCAGGCCACGUGGUAGUGUUUUCAUUGCCAGAGGUUGCGAAGCGGAAGUCCGGAAGAACCAGUGCAACUGAGGCCCGACCUGGUGGCCACCUUCUGUCAUCUGCGGUGGAGCUGCGGCUGAGGGGGCGGGCGGACGCGCUCCGUCCCACCCCACCCAGACCCCUGUGGCAUGUAGCUCUCCGUCUAUUAAACUUACAGAGGAUUUUGUAGAUCAAAGUUUAAGAAGAGCUGGACAAAAUAACGACUUCCUACCAUCAUAUUCUUUGAGUCUAAGGCAGAGAUACCGUGCCCCGCUAAAACGUCUUGCGUACCAAGUGGAACACAAUGUCUGGUCCGUGAAAGUGGUGAGAGACUAUAUUGCCAAAUAUUUUUUGAAAAUAUGCUGGAUGCUUCAUAGAAAUGAGGUUCUACGGAACACUACCGGAAAGGAGGCUGGUGCUUGUGCUGAGCCGCCUUCAGCAGCUCCACGUCCCACAUUGCUGAUGAGUGAGAGCCUCUGUUAUAAAUGGAAACGUGAACUGGCAAGUGCUCCCCGGCUAACGCUGAACCCACCAGCUUAUUUUGCUACCUAUUAUGUACGUGAUCUGCGAUUUUGCUUAUUGAUUGCAAACAUGCACGAGGAAUAGGAAGCUGGCGUGUUUUCCAAAAACGAGAUGGAGUGUUUUCGCUGCUGCGUGUCUCAACCGGGUAUGACUUCGACUUUUCAUCAUUUCUCUGAGGUCAGAAACAGCCUUGGGUGGGUUUCUAAUUUUUUUUUUUUUUUUUUUUUAUAUAGAAGUUUGGCUCCCGAGACUGUUUCAGAGCCUUUAGGAAAGAUAUCAAGUGGACGAGACAUGUCCGAAAAUAUUUAAAGUGGCGAUUUCCUAGGCCCUCUUUCUCCACUUUCUCCGUAGGCAUCUGUUCCCAUAUGUGGAGGUUUAAGUCAGCCUCUAUCUACAGAUGACCCUUGUCUGACCUCACUCUCUGGAAUGCUCUGCCUGCCUCUGUCUUUCAUGCCACAGCACAUCAACACUACCUUCUGUUGGCAUUCCUGACAGGAUUUCUUUCUCCUGAGCUCUUGAAAGAAUCCUGCUUCAGCAACUCUAGAGAAUGGUGGGAGAGUUGGUCUUUAAAAACAGAUUUAUCCCAUACCAAGGACAGGAAUCACUUAUUUUGCACCACUGUGUGCAUUGACUCUUCUUUUCUCCCAAUCCAUGAACAUAGUAUAGAUUCUUAGGUCCCCUUGACCCAGGAAUGCAGUUUCCCAUGCCUACAUAGGCCAAGUCCUUCUGUUCUCAGAGAUUCUAAUUACAUUAGCCUGUGUAUUUUCUUUAAAACGGUUAUCACAACCUAAAAUUACCUUGUUUAUUUGCUUACAUAUUCACUGUCUAUCUCUUCUAUCUAGAAAGUAAACUCCAUGAGAGCAGGGUCUUUUUUUUUUUUUUAAAGAAAAGUCUUUUUUAAAUUAUUUCUUUAUUUUUAGAGAGAGAGAGAGAGAGAGAGAGUGCACAUGAGCAAGGGAGAGAGGGAAAAUCUAAAGCAGGCUCCACACUCAGUGUGGAGACCAACUCUCAGGUCUCCAUCCCAUGACCCUGGGAUCAUGACCUGAGCCAAAAUCAAGAGUCAGACACUCAACCGACUGAGCCACUCAGGCGCCGUGAGAGCAGGGCCUUAUGUGUCUUCUCCCAGCAUCCAGAGUGACGCUUGUCCACAUAAUAGGUGCUCAUGGAAUAUUUGCCAACUGACUGACUUACAGAAUCAGUCAUUAAAACAUCAUACGAAAAUUAGCUUUCCAUUAACUCCUUCUAAGUGUCAUUUUCUUGUCUCUCUUGAACAAUGAUAUUGUCCAAAUGGAGCUAGUAUUGUGACCAAAUACCAAUCAACUAUGUUAGUGGCUUUUGAGAUUUGGGACCCCCUUUACACCCUUAAAAGUUGUUGAAGACCCAAAGAGCUAGUGUUCAUGUGAGUCAUAUCUGUCAUUAUUUAGUGUGAUAGAAAUGAAAACUGAGAAGAGUUCAAAAUAUUUAUUAAUUCAUUAAAAAUAAUAAACCCAUUAUAUGUUAACAUUCAUACCAUAUUUUUUUUGUUUCUCAAAUAAACAAAAUAACAGGGACAUGA